UACAGAGGUCUCAAGCGUUGUUCGGAUUCAUUGGGCGUAAAGGGUGCGUAGGUGGCGCGCUAAGUCGGGUGUGAAAUCUCGGAGCUUAACUCCGAAAUUGCAUUCGAUACUGGCGUGCUUGAGGACUGGAGAGGAGACUGGAAUUCAUGGUGUAGCAGUGAAAUGCGUAGAGAUCAUGAGGAAGACCAGUGGCGAAGGCGGGCUCUGGACAGUUCCUGACACUGAGGCACGAAGGCCAGGGGGAGCAAACGGG
rnacentral:rRNA from 1 species